AAGUUGGGAGCUGAAGUUGAGUCGAAUGGAGAAGAAUGGAACUGAUAUGCUCAGACCUUGUCCUUCCCACAGCCCAGAAGAGAAAAAGCCUUGACUGCCUCCUGGUUCUGUCCUGGUUGAUUGGACCAACGGUAGACACUUGACCUAAUCCUGGCCUGACAGCUCCCUCUGGGAGUCUACAGCUAAACAGGGAAGCUGGACUUUCCUCCUUCAGCUGUGAGAUGUGUCACAAGAGCGCACAACAACUCACCAUUGCCCCGGGAGUGCUCUCACCAACAUUCUGCCUCAGCCUCCCUAGCCAUCAUCCUGUACCUGGCUUCUCUCCAUGGAAACAACACACACCCAGAGGAGGGAGGAUUCUGUCUAACCCAGGGAGAUCUCGCAAGCAAGGCUGAAGCUUUCCAGUACAUCUUCUUUUUAAAUCAGGGCACUCAGAGAUUCUGGGUCACUUUGAAAAAUCUGGUACCUGUUUUUGAUCCCCUCAUACUGUACCCCAAACUAUCCUGCUGAUGGGACUUUGGACUCCCUAGCUAUCUGGAGGAGAAGUCUCAGGGCGCUCUGCACAGAGCAGCAUUUGAGGCAGUGUGGGAAAUGGGCCAGAAGGGACACCAGGGCUGGGGAGGUGGAGGGGCCAUAGCUCUCAGUUGUCCCAGUUGGGACAUGCCACCUUGGGGUAGCAUGCCACCUUGAAGAUGGGGAUUAAUGGGCCAAGCACAUGCCUGGGGAGGUUGUAAUUGUUGUUGCUUCCGUUCAUGGGCAGGCCAGGCUGGAGCAUGAUGGGAAGCUGGAAACAGAUAGAAGGCCCAGAUGGUGGUGGCUUCUCCUAGGCUCUUGGGAAAGAUAGGACCAGAGAUACUUAGCAAGGUCACCCCCAAAGCAUGUCCACGUCUAGUGCUGGACCAUGGAAAGGACCCAGGAGCGACGACACCCGGCCUGCUCUGCCUUGCAGCACUGGGUGCUGCUGUGGAUGCUGUUCUGUUUCCAUUCAGCCGUGUUCCUUGUGUCCUUGGAGUGUCCCUUAUGAAGCCAGAGAGCUGGCAGGUAAUGGAGGGCCAGGCUUUACUGUGCCCAUGCCUCUCUUUACGACGCCAUAUUUUUUUAACGAGCUAUGUAAAUGUCUGCGAGUCAGAACAAAGUCAGGGCCUCCGGCUGCCCCCUCCCCCACUCGCCUGACCUUGUGCGUCCCAGGGGAAAGUUUUCUGAGGGCCGUGGCAGUGGUGGUAGCCUCUUCCGUGUGGCCACUUCCUGGUUCAGCUUGAGUCAGAGCAGGGACUAUGGCUGACGACUUAUUUUGGGACCUUGUGCCUGUCACCUCUCUUCCUGCUCCUCAUUUACACAAUGGAAUACAGAGCGGUUAGCGCUUUCUGAAGCAUCAUGGUACCGCUACGCAGCCCUGGGCAGUGGCUGGGCCCCGCCCAGGGUUUCUUGUCAAAACAGGAAGACCACUGCUUUAGUGCUGAUCAGCCCUGGACUCAGUGCAGUGGGCAAGGGAUGGUCUCAGAGACAACCCCUGUCCCUGCUCCUCCCUGGCCUGCUCUUCCUUUGGCUUCUUCUUCUUCUUGUACCCCGGGAUAUUCUGCAACACCAUUCUCAGGAAGGUGUCUCCACAGUACAGUGGGGUUGGGGAGCAAGGAUGAAGUUGAUGAGCAGAGAACCAGGCAUGGUCACUGCUGAUGUCCUGGUUGGGGUGGCAGCUGGACUCAAAGGAGGUGAGGGAAGAGAGAGCCUGGGAUUGUGCCAGGGCAGCCAGAGACCCAGUCUCUGGGUCACCAGAAGCCUCUCCAGCCUUCCCUUCGUAGUAACAGCCAGAGUUGUGAAUGCAGAUUAUACCAUAACAGGAGGGCAUAAAUCCCUUUGCAGGCUGAGCAACCAAACUCCCAGGGGGAGCUCUGACCCCUAGGACUGCACUGCAUGGCCACUGUGUCCCCAGCUCCUAAUAGAUGCCAAGGCCAGAUUACCAGGCCUUCAGCAUAGCUGCUAAACCUCCUUGUAUUCUGAUCAGAGUUCUACACUCUACUGAGGUGCCAGGGUGGCCUGGGAGGGUUGACUGGCAUAGAUCGUGACCAUGGGCAUUGACAUUCACUCUGCUCACCUACCUAUACCAUAGUGUGCCUGCCACCAGCACCUCAUUCAUCCGUGAAAGAGAGACUGCGGGAGGCAGUGUAGCUUCGUCCACUUCACGGAUGAGAAGCCUGAGUUGAGAGUGGUUCAGAAUGAGUUCUGGCUUUCAAACCUACCCGGAGAUGGGCCUAGCUGUCCUCUCCAGAUUUGCCUCUGACAGGGAAUAUGUUAUCUUCAGAGUGGGAUUAAAGAAGAGAAUUCAGGAAUGGCUUGUAGCCUAUCUGUCAGCACGACCCCUGAUAAACUGUAGCUGACAGAAUUACUGCCCCUCCUCUGCUGCAGCCUGCCACAGAAAGGAUAUUGUGGGGACCAGGGGACAGCAAAGCCAGUCUGAGCAAACUCUAGAGGCCUGUAUGUAUAUCAAGGGAUGCUUCCUCCAAGGACAGGGGGACUAUAGAUGUUCCCAUAGGGCAGCGGUUCUCUCUGUAGGUCAGUGACCCCUUUAACAAACCUCUAUCUCCAAAAGUAUUUCCAUUACAAUCCAUAACAGUAGUAAAAUUACAGUUAUGAAUUAGC
rnacentral:lncRNA from 1 species